UUUUUCCUACUCAGACCAUCCGCAAGGCUUAAAAACUUCAAACUCAGAAAAAAAUUGGGGUUCCUAAAUUCACUGUUGAGCGCCGUGGAUUUACUUCAGUGAAGGCUUUUUGGAGCACUUCUGAAUUUUCAGCUUCUUUACCUGUUCCUAACGGUGUCUGGAUGUGGGUUCGAUACGAGGCAUUAACCACAGAGGUUGGAGGGCAGGGUCAGAGAGAUGGUCUUGUCAAUGGUGAACAUUUGGAUACGCAUCGGGGACUCCAAACCACCAGGCAUGCCAGCAUGUCCCUGUGGAAGUGAGGAGACACUCAGUGGCUGUUGGUAACAGGAUGGACGAAUGUUGGCUUGAAUUGUGGGGACCUCCAUGCCGAGAGGAAUCGGGCGCCUCAAAACUCGAAUGGUGGUAAUUGGGUGUGUUGGUUAAUGUGUCUAUCACAAAUAAAACACCUGUCUUUCUGU
rnacentral:lncRNA from 1 species